rnacentral:rRNA from 1 species
GAUGAACGCUGGCGGCGUGCCUAAUACAUGCAAGUCGAGCGAACAGAUGAGGAGCUUGCUCCUCUGACGUUAGCGGCGGACGGGUGAGUAACACGUGGAUAACCUACCUAUAAGACUGGGAUAACUUCGGGAAACCGGAGCUAAUACCGGAUAAUAUAUUGAACCGCAUGGUUCAAUAGUGAAAGACGGUUUUGCUGUCACUUAUAGAUGGAUCCGCGCCGCAUUAGCUAGUUGGUAAGGUAACGGCUUACCAAGGCAACGAUGCGUAGCCGACCUGAGAGGGUGAUCGGCCCCACGGGAACUGGGACACGGUCCAGACUCCUACGGGAGGCAGCAGUAGGGAAUCUUCCGCAAUGGGCGAAAGCCUGACGGAGCAACGCCGCGUGAGUGAUGAAGGUCUUCGGAUCGUAAAACUCUGUUAUUAGGGAAGAACAAAUGUGUAAGUAACUAUGCACGUCUUGACGGUACCUAAUCAGAAAGCCACGGCUAACUACGUG